rnacentral:rRNA from 1 species
UACGUAGGGGGCGAGCGUUGUCCGGAUUUAUUGGGCGUAAAGAGCUCGUAGGCGGUUUGGUAAGUUGGAUGUGAAAUCUCCAGGCUCAACUUGGAGGGGUCAUUCGAUACUGAUCGACUCGAAGGCAGGAGAGGGUAGUGGAAUUCCCGGUGUAGUGGUGAAAUGCGUAGAUAUCGGGAGGAACACCAGUGGCGAAGGCGACUACCUGGCCUGUUCUUGACGCUGAGGCGCGAAAGCUAGGGGAGCAAACGGG